AGGAGCAGAUAUAAUUUCAUUGGUUUGGAAAUUUCCUCUACCAAAGCAGAAUCCCAAGUCUUAAAAGUUGUGCUUCCUGACAGCUUAAUUGACUUGCUUGUGGUUAUGCAGCUAAUGUAUGUUCCAGGCACCUUAGAAGAACUGAAAAUUUAUCUCUGAAAGCAGCUGCACAAAACCCCUGAAGCUUGGGACAGUACACCCUCCACACUAGAAGCAGAGAUCUACCUUAGCAAAGAGCUAAUAAGUCAAGUAAUUGGCAGGGAAAAUAAGCAAACGGUGGAAAAAAAGUCAGACUAUAGAAUCUUACUUUGGUGACAAGGAAGAUCAAAACAUAAAACCAGAAGAAGACAACAAAGUCAAAGUUCCUACAUCCAAAGCCUCCAAGAAGAAUAUGAAUUGGUCACAGGCCGUGGAAGAGCUCAAAAGUUUUCCUUUCUUUAAAACUUUAUGGGCCCCAUCUUAAGAACCCUAGAUUUGGGACAUGUUUACCCACUGAAUUCCUUAGUGGUUCUCUCUUCUUGAAGAAGACAGGCUUGGCUCACACUGUAAAACCAAAUCCUGCUAUUCAGGAGAAUACAUUUGUGAGAAUUCAUAUUUUAAAAAAAAGGGAAGCUUUAUACUGGAUCACCAUCACCCUUUAGAGAAAUUGAAAUCAAGUAGCUAUGCUGAUCUGCUGCCAUGGUAUUUAUUUACUGGUGGCUAAGCUUUACAGGGGUAUUUGUUUAGUAUGGGAGCCCAACAUCUAGUUGAACUGGACUAACUACAUUCUUAAGACUUGUCAGUUUUUGGAUCAUUUCUUUGGAUUCCAAUCCAUAACAAUUUGGCUACAGGAGAAGGUGAGAGAUUUCUCACAGUUCUGAAAUGACCAUGAACAGUCUGGAAUCCUCCCUGUGGCUAUUGAUGAAGCUUUUCAGCCUGGGAAUCCCUAAGUCUGGAUUAAGUAGCCCCCAGAAUUGAUCCAGUUUGGCUGGAAUCCUCUAGCCAAACUAUUGUGGAAUUGGGGUGGGGCUGUGACCAAUGAAAGUGCCACCCUAGAUGGGUGAGUCCUUACUUAGCCUUUGGAAUGGCUCGGGGUUGAAUAAAUGUUUGACUUGGUAAGAUG